UUUAANAAUAGCGUCAAAGCUUAAUUACNNNNAUCAACNNUUUUUCAAUUACACAAAUCACUUAGAACCCUUUCUCANAUAUCGAGGAAUCCUAUACNAACUUAUAGAAUCUUUUAUGUUAAAACUAGUAACAAGAAGCAAACCCUUCUCUCAAAUGCAAGCAUAAGCCAGAAAGGAUAAACCACUGUCAAUUAACACUAAUGAACCUCAAUUAACAACAUCUNCAAGAAAAACUUAAUUAAAUUNCAUGUUAACCUAACACAAGCGCAUUUCUAGAAAGAUUAAAAAAAAAAGAAGGAACUCGGCAAACACAAACCCCGCCUGUUUACCAAAAACAUNCGCCUCUUGGNCAUNUAAAUAAGAGGUCCAGCCUGCCCAGUGACUUANNGUUCAACGGCCGCGGUAUCCUAACCGUGCGAAGGUAGCGUAAUCACUUGUUCUUUAAAUGAGGACUGGUAUGAAAGGCACCACGAGGGUUACACUGUCUCCUUUUUUAAAUCAGUGNNAAACUAAUAUUCCCGUGAAGAAGCGGGGAUACUUCUAUAAGACGAGAAGACCCUAUGGAGCUUUAAAUUAAUUAACACUUGCUGCAANNNUUAUUAAAUUUUUNNNNNNAGAAACACUANCACAUAGCAUAGCAUUAUACUUNAUUAAUUUUCGAUUGGGGUGAUCACGGAGUAAAAAAUAACCUCCACGCUGAAAGAANNNUUUAUUUCUGAGCAAUANAGACACAACUUUAAGCACUAAAAAANCUAACACANCAUUGAUCCAAUANCUUUGAUCAACGAACCAAGUUACCNCUAGGGAUAACAGCGCAAUCCACUUUAAGAGNCCCCUAUCGACAAGUGGGUUUACGACCUCGAUGUUGGAUCAGGGUAUCCUAGUGGUGCAGCCGCUACUGAUGNGUUCGUUUGUUCAACGAUUAAAACCCUACGUGAUCUGAGUUCNAGACCGGAGUAAUCCAGGUCAGUUUCUAUCUAUANAAGAGNCUUUUUCUAGUACGAAAGGACCGAAAAAACAUGGCCAAUAAAUCAUUUAAGCCAUNAAAAACANNACUAAUGCCAACAACUAAAUUAGUAACCAACCUAACAUANCUCUCUCAAGAAAAGAGAAGUUAACGUAGCAAAACCUGGCCCUGCAA
rnacentral:rRNA from 1 species